rnacentral:rRNA from 1 species
AUCAAAAACAUCACCUCUAGCAUAACUAGUAUUAGAGGCACUGCCUGCCCAGUGACAAUCGUUAAACGGCCGCGGUAUCUUGACCGUGCAAAGGUAGCAUAAUCACUUGUUCUCUAAAUAAGGACUUGUAUGAACGGCCACACGAGGGUUUUACUGUCUCUUACUCCUAAUCAGUGAAAUUGACCUCCCCGUGAAGAGGCGGGGAUAACACAAUAAGACGAGAAGACCCUAUGGAGCUUUAAUUAAUCAACUCAAAAAGCAUAAAAUAAUACCACCAAGGGAUAAUAGAGCUUUACAUGAGCUGACAAUUUCGGUUGGGGUGACCUCGGAGUAUAAAAAACCCUCCGAGUGAUCAAAACUUAGGCCUACUAGCCAAAGUAUAGUAUCACAUAUUGAUCCAAAAUUUUGAUCAACGGAACAAGUUACCCUAGGGAUAACAGCGCAAUCCUAUUCUAGAGUCCAUAUCGACAAUAGGGUUUACGACCUCGAUGUUGGAUCAGGACAUCCUAAUGGUGCAGCAGCUAUUAAGGGUUCGUUUGUUCAACGAUUAAAGUCCUACGUGAUCUGAGU